rnacentral:rRNA from 1 species
AGUGAACGCUGGCGGUAGGCCUAACACAUGCAAGUCGAACGGCAGCACAGGAGAGCUUGCUCUCUGGGUGUCGAGUGGCGGACGGGUGAGGAAUACAUCGGAAUCUACUUUUUCGUGAGGGAUAACGUAGGGAAACUUACGCUAAUACCGCAUACGACCUACGGGUGAAAGCAGGGGAUCUUCGGACCAUUCGCGAUUGAAUCAGCCGAUGUCGGAUUAUCGAGUUGGCGGGGUAAAGGCCCACCAAGGCGACGAUCCGUAGCUGGUAUGAGAGGAUGAUCAGCCACACUGGAACUGAGACACGGUCCAGACUCCUACGGGAGGCAGCAGUGGGGAAUAUUGGACAAUGGGCGCAAGCCUGAUCCAGCCAUACCGCGUGGGUGAAGAAGGCCUUCGGGUUGUAAAGCCCUUUUGUUGGGAAAGAAAUCCAGCUGGUUAAUACCCGGUUGGGAUGACGGUACCCAAAGAAUAAGCACCGGCUAACUUCGUGCCAGCCGCCGCAGUAA